CCUACGGGAGGCAGCAGUGAGGAAUAUUUGUCAAUGGACGAGAGUCUGAACCAGCCAAGUAGCGUGAAGGAUGACUUCCCUAUGGGUUGUAAACUUCUGUUAUAAAGGAAUAAAACGAGGCACGUGUGCCUUUUUGCGUGUACUUUAUGAAUAAGGAUCGGCUAACUCCGUGCCAGCAGCCGCGGGAAUAUGGAGGAUCCGAGCGUUAUCCGGAUUUAUUGGGUUUAAAGGGAGCGUAGAUGGGUUGUUAAGUCAGUUGUGAAAGUUUGCGGCUCAACCGUUAGAUUGCAAUUGAUACUGGCAGUCUUGAGUACAGUUGAGGUAGGCGGAAUUCGUGGUGUAGCGGUGAAAUGCUUAGAUAUCACGAAGAACCACGAUUGCGAAGGCAGCUUACUAAACUGUGACUGACAUUGAUGCUCGAAAGUGUGGGUAGCAAACAGGAUUAGAUACCCGAGUAGUC
rnacentral:rRNA from 1 species